AAGUCGUAACAAGGUCUCCGUUGGUGAACCAGCGGAGGGAUCAUUACUGAGUACUACACUCUCUACCCUUUGUGAACUAUUAUACCUGUUGCUUCGGCGGCGCCCGCAAGGGUGCCCGCCGGUCUCAUCAGAAUCUCUGUUUUCGAACCCGACGAUACUUCUGAGUGUUCUUAGCGAACUGUCAAAACUUUUAACAACGGAUCUCUUGGCUCCAGCAUCGAUGAAGAACGCAGCGAAACGCGAUAUGUAAUGUGAAUUGCAGAAUUCAGUGAAUCAUCGAAUCUUUGAACGCACAUAGCGCCUUCCAGUAUCCUGGGAGGCAUGCCUGUCCGAGCGUCGUUUCAACCCUCGAGCCCCUGUGGCCCGGCGUUGGGGAUCUGCCACGGCAGGCCCCUAAAACCAGUGGCGGACCCGAAGGGCCCUCUCCUUUGCGCAGUAGCAUUCGCCUCGCAUCGGGAGUCCUCGGCGUCCUGCCUCUAAACCCCCCACAAGCCCGCUUCGGCGGCACCAAGGUUGACCUCGGAUCAGGUAGGAAUACCCGCUGAACUUGA
rnacentral:rRNA from 1 species